rnacentral:rRNA from 2 species
ACGGGAGGCAGCAGUGGGGAAUAUUGCACAAUGGGGGAAACCCUGAUGCAGCGACGCCGCGUGAGUGAAGAAGUUAUUCGUAAUGUAAAGCUCUAUCAGCAGGGAAGAAAAUGACGGUACCUGACUAAGAAGCCCCGGCUAACUACGUGCCAGCAGCCGCGGUAAUACGUAGGGGGCAAGCGUUAUCCGGAUUUACUGGGUGUAAAGGGAGCGUAGACGGUCUAGCAAGUCUGAUGUGAAAGGCAGGGGCUCAACUCCUGGACUGCAUUGGAAACUGUUAGUCUUGAGUGUCGGAGAGGUAAGCGGAAUUCCUAGUGUAGCGGUGAAAUGCGUAGAUAUUAGGAGGAACACCAGUGGCGAAGGCGGCUUACUGGACGAUAACUGACGUUGAGGCUCGAAAGCGUGGGGAGCAAACAGGAUUAGAUACCCUGGUA